rnacentral:rRNA from 1 species
UACAGAGGGGGCAAGCGUUAUUCGGAAUUAUUGGGCGUAAAGGGUGCGUAGGCGGGUAAGUAAGUCCGUGGUGAAAUCUCUGAGCUUAACUCAGAAACUGCCGUGGAUACUAUUUGCCUUGAAUAUUGUGGAGGUGAGCGGAAUAUGUCAUGUAGCGGUGAAAUGCUUAGAUAUGACAUAGAACACCAAUUGCGAAGGCAGCUCACUACACAAUCAUUGACGCUGAGGCACGAAAGCGUGGGGAUCAAACAGG